GAAUUGAAUCUGGACAUUCACCCAGGGAAGCAACAUAUAUCUUCUGAUCUUUGUCUUGCCUCCGGUGCAACUUCAGUUUGUCCAGUAGUGCUCUUGACAAAUUUCUAGAAUGAGGAAUGAAAUACUUGGAGAUAGGCCACCAAUUCGGUGUUGAACUCAGGUUUACACAUUGGUGCACAUGAUGUGUCAAUCAAACAUACUAUAGCCCUCAUAUAAUGGCUACUGCUGUUUGCAAAGUAAGAAUCGAAUGAUGCAAAGAGAUUUAUGCUGUAGAAGAACUUACAAGCUUAGAAGCAGAGACUUAGCAUGGGGGACUGCCGCUUGAAGAGAUGCAAAUGUUGCAACUUCACCAGAGGUUCUAUGUUGGAAGUUGUGUGUGUCGGUGGUUCAAGUUCACAAGGAUUGGCACCAUGGACUGGAGAAUUAUCGCAAACAACAUGGACACACCAGAGGCAGGGGCUGCAUGCUGCCAAGUCCAAGGCGACUGCCAAGAAGACUGGGCUCGAUGUAGUGACCGAGGAGGCGCAGG